GAGUUUGAUCGUGGCUCAGAUUGAACGCUGGCGGCAUGCCUUACACAUGCAAGUCGAACGGCAGCACGGGAGCUUGCUCCUGGUGGCGAGUGGCGAACGGGUGAGUAAUGCAUCGGAACGUAUCCUGGAGGUGGGGGAUAACGUAGCGAAAGUUACGCUAAUACCGCAUAUUCUGUGAGCAGGAAAGCGGGGGACCUUCGGGCCUCGCGCUCUUGGAGCGGCCGAUGUCGGAUUAGCUAGUUGGUGAGGUAAAGGCUCACCAAGGCGACGAUCCGUAGCAGGUCUGAGAGGAUGAUCUGCCACACUGGAACUGAGACACGGUCCAGACUCC
rnacentral:rRNA from 1 species